CCAGGCUCCAGCUCCAGCUUCAGUUCCAGCUUAGGCUCCCAAAGGUUCCCAGGCCCCUACAAAGGCUUCAGAGUAGAUAUCUCUGCCAAUCUGAGGACAGAAGGACU